UUUUCCCAGAAGCAACGCAACCCCAUACACUUUAAUUUAUAAUUAGUAUUAUUUGUACAAUGUUUAAUUUUUUGGAAUUAUUUUAUUAGUAGCAUGGAUGUAAAUAACUCGUCUAAAAAUCUAAAAACUUUGUUAAAUAAAUUACUUGUUUUUAUUUUGACUGAUUUUUCUGCUGCAAUGCAAUGAAUAUGUUUUAAUUAAAUAAUUUAAAUUUUUUGUGAUUGCACAAUAAGUCUCCUAAACGGAGAAAUGUUCAAGACGUACUGUUUGAAGUUAACAAACAAGUGUAAAUGGGCCUCGACUAAAGAUACCAGGAGGUUGAAAACUGAAACAACGAACAGGAGAACAUGUGUACCGAUAUGAUGUACGAGAGCACUGGAAUAAAUACGAGGUUGCAGAAUUAAUUUCUCACCAGGACUGCUAGGAGAUUGUGGUGGAUUAAAAAGGUUGAAGGAACCCUUUUUGGGGUGCAAUGACUGCUACUUGGUACAUCUUAGCAUUGCGUUUACCAAUAUACAGGGUUUACCUUGGCGCCCCAAUCUGACUUCUAAUAAAAACCGAUGUGUAUGAUACGGCGUGAUGACAAAGGGGAUCGCAUACAAUCGGAGAAUUCUCACUUUUUCUGGAUUGUGUGUUCUUCGCCCAUGGAACAACCCUUUCAGUUCACCUCAAUAUGGAUACCUACAGGUUUUCUCGUAUUCAUAAGUUAAUAUUAAGUAAUUAGACCUUGGUUAGAUAUAAGUAUAUAAUAUUUUUAUUUUUGUUACCGGGGCCCCGUUUGUAUGUUUGCCCCUAUUUUUAGGGGCACUUGUGUUUUUUUUUUCUCAUUUCAGAUGUCUUUCCAAGAAAAUCGCUUACCAAGUGAGUACCAAGAAAUACCUCCACAACCCGUAGGAGAGAAUUGGUCAGACUAAUUGAUGUACCAAAACACUAAAAUUAGUGGCAUACUGCUAAGUAAUAUGUAUAAAUCUUUAUUCUUUUUAUUUCAGGGUUACAGAAUUGAGUGCUUUUUGCACCACAAAGCACAAGGACUUCCAAAUACCUGC